GAGCGUGUUGCCCGACGCGACCGCUACCUCGACCUCCUAGCGCCGCAAGGCCCAUGUCCUUCUUCUCUUCCCUUUGUCCCGUCCAUCCCAUCUCCCCGCCGCCACUUCUCUUCCUUCCUCGGAUCUGCAGCCAGCCCCGCGCCCACCUUCUCCUGCGCGAACGCGCCCCUGUCAUGGCGAGCCACAGCAGCCAGGACCUGGGAGCCUCGCGCCCGUCGCCAGGUGACCGCACCUCGAUCUCCUGAGCGUGUUGCCCGACGCGAUCGCUACCUCGACCUCCUAGCGCCGCAAGGCCCAUGUCCUUCUUCUCUUCCCUGUCUCACUUGUUCUC
rnacentral:lncRNA from 1 species